AACGAACGCUGGCGGCAUGCCUAACACAUGCAAGUCGAACGAUACCUUCGGGUCUAGUGGCGCACGGGUGCGUAACGCGUUGGAACCUUCCCUUAGGUUCGGAAUAACUCCCCGAAAGGGGUGCUAAUACCGGAUAAUGUCUUCGGACCAAAGAUUUAUCUCCUUUGGAUGGGCCCGCGUUGGAUUAGCUCGUUGGUAGUGUAAAAGCCUACCCAGGCACGAUCCAUAGCUGGUCUGAGAGGAUGAUCAGCCACACUGGGAAUGAGACACGGCCCAGACUCCUACGGGAAGCAGCAGUGGGGAAUAUUGGACAAGGGGCGAAAGCCUGAUCCAGCAAUGCCGCGUGAGUGAUGAAGGCCUUAGGGUUGUAAAGCUCUUUUACCCGGGAUGAUAAUGACAGUACCGGGAGAAUAAGCUCCGGCUAACUCCGUG
rnacentral:rRNA from 1 species